rnacentral:rRNA from 1 species
AUUUUUAUUUAUUAUUUAUUUAAUUUUUAAUAAAAUUAAUUUUAUGUUUAUGUAUAUGUUAUGGAUUUAAUUUUUUUAAUUAUAUUUUAUUUAUACUGUAUAGGAUUUUUUAUUAAUAUUUUUAAGUAAAUAUGUUGUUGUACCUUGUGUAUCAGGAUUUAUUAAAUUAUAUUAUUUAUUUUUUAUUUCCCGAUUUUAAAGGAGUUAAUUAAUUAUAUUGAUUAUUAUUUUAUAAAUAUUAAUAAUAUUUAUUUGGUAGUGAAAUGUUAUUCGUCUUUAAUGGUAUCUGGUUUUUCAGGAAAUGAAUUUAAUUCAUAAUUUAUUAUUAUAUUUCUAAUUUUUUUUAGUUUAAUAUUAUAUUAAUUUUAGUAUUAAGGGGGAUAAGCUCUUUAAUAAAUUUUUAUAAUUUUAUUUAUUUAUUUAAUUGUGUUGGUUUUAUAAUAACUAUCUAUUUAAAUUUGUUUUAAUUUUAUUUAUUUAUUUAUUUAAUUUUAUUUUAUUUAAAUUUUUAUUGAAUAUUAUUUAUUUAAUUUUGUUUUAAUUGUAAUUAUGAUGAAAUUAGUAAUUGGUAAUUUAUUUUAUAUAUUUAUAUUUUAUAAUUUAAAAAGGAACUAGGCAAAGUAUAUUCUCGCAUGUUUAUCAAAAACAUCUCUUCUUGUUUAAAAUAUGAAGUAUAACCUGCCCGCUGAUUUAAUUUUGAAGGGCCGCGGUAUUCUUGACCGUGCAAAGGUAGCAUAAUCAUUAGUUUUUUAAUUAAGUACUGGAAUGAAUGGUUGGACGAGGAAUAAACUGUUUCUUAUUAUUUAUUUGAAUUUAAAUUUUGAGUUAAAAAGCUUAAAUUUGUUUAUGGGACGAGAAGACCCUAUAGAGUUUUAUAUUUUAUGUAUAUUAAUUUGUUUGAUUUAUUUAUUUUAUAUAAUUUAUUUUGUUGGGGUGAUUGAAAAAUUUAAAUAACUUUUUUUUAUUAUAUAUAUUUAUUUAUAAUUAUUUGAUCCAUUUAUAUUGAUUAUAAGAUUAAAUUACCUUAGGGAUAACAGCGUUAUCUUUCUUGAAAGUUCAUAUUGAUAGAGAGGUUUGCGACCUCGAUGUUGGAUUAAGAAUAAGAUUGGGUGUAGAAGUUCAUUUAAUUAGGUCUGUUCGACCUUUAAUAUCUUACAUGAUCUGAGUUCAAACCGGUGUAAGCCAGGUUGGUUUCUAUCUAUAAUAUAUUUUUAUAUCUUAGUACGAGAGGACCAGAUAU